UAGUCUACGCCGUAAACGAUGGAUACUCGAUUUGAGAGGGAUUCGACCCCUUCUCGAGUCUAAGCUAACGCGUUAAGUAUCCCGCCUGGGGAGUACGGUCGCAAGAUUAAAACUCAAAGGAAUAGACGGGGACCCACACAAGCGGUGGAGCAUGUGGUUUAAUUCGACACUAAACGGGGAACCUUACCGAGGCUUGACAUCUCCGGAACUCUUUAGAAAUAUAGAGGUGCCGCAAGGAACCGGAUGACAGGUGCUGCAUGGUCGUCGUCAGCUCGUGCCUUGAGGUGUUCGGUUAAGUCCGUAAACGAGCGCAACCCAUGUCCUAUGUUGCAUUUUUCAUAGGAGACUGCCGGCUCCAAGUCGGAGGAAGGUAUGGAUGACGUCAGAUCAGCAUGGCCCUUAUGCCUCGGGCCACACACGUGCUACAAUGGCCGGUACAAUGAGCAGCUAACCCGCGAGGGGGCGCGAAUCUCAUCAAAGCCGGUCUCAGUUCGGAUUGAGGGCUGC
rnacentral:rRNA from 1 species